ACUCAAAGGAAUUGACGGGGGCCCGCACAAGCGGAGGAACAUGUGGUUUAAUUCGAUGAUACGCGAGGAACCUUACCCGGGCUUGAACGCAGGAGGAAUACGUGGGAAACCAUGUCGCCAGCAAUGGCCGCCUGCGAGGUGCUGCAUGGUUGUCGUCAGCUCGUGCCGUGAGGUGUCGGCUUAAGUGCCAUAACGAGCGCAACCCCUAUCGUUAGUUGCCAGCGGGUAAUGCCGGGGACUCUAACGAAACUGCCAGCGUAAGCUGUGAGGAAGGCGGGGAUGACGUCAAAUCAGCACGGCCCUUACGUCCGGGGCUACACACGUGUUACAAUGGAUGGUACAGAGGGCAGCUACUUCGCGAGAAGAUGCCAAUCUCCAAAGCCAUUCACAGUUCGGAUCGAAGUCUGCAACUCGACUUCGUGAAGCUGGAUUCGCUAGUAAUCGCGUAUCAGCAAUGACGCGGUGAAUACGUUCCCGGGCCUUGUACACACCGCCCGU
rnacentral:rRNA from 1 species